UCCCUCUUAGCUCAGUUGGUAGAGCGCGUCACUAGUACGAUGUAACGCUCCAUUCUAAUGACGAGGUCAGUCGUUCAAAUCGGCUAGCGGGAA